UACGAAGGGGGCUAGCGUUGCUCGGAAUCACUGGGCGUAAAGCGCACGUAGGCGGCUUUCUAAGUCAGGGGUGAAAUCCUGGAGCUCAACUCCAGAACUGCCUUUGAUACUGGCGAUCUUGAGUCCGGGAGAGGUGAGUGGAACUGGCGAGUGUAGAGGUGAAAUUCGUAGAUAUUCGCAAGAACACCAGUGGCGAAGGCGGCUCACUGGCCCGGUACUGACGCUGAGGUGCGAAACGUGGGGACCAAGCAGGGAUAAGAAACCCCGGUGAG
rnacentral:rRNA from 1 species